UACGUAGGGUGCGAGCGUUACUCGGAAUUACUGGGCGUAAAGCGUGCGCAGGCGGUUUUGUAAGCCAGAUGUGAAAUCCCCGGGCUUAACCUGGGAAUGGCAUUUGGGACUGCAAGGCUGGAGUGUGGCAGAGGAGACUGGAAUUCCCGGUGUAGCAGUGAAAUGCGUAGAUAUCGGGAGGAAUACCGAUGGCGAAGGCAGGGCUCUGGGCUGACACUGACGCUCAUGCACGAAAGCGUGGGGAGCAAACAGG
rnacentral:rRNA from 1 species